rnacentral:tRNA from 1 species
UGAGGUGUAGUGCAAUGGUAGCACGUCAGAUUUUGGUUCUGGAGAUUCAAGUUCAAAUCUUGACACCUUAGCAA